rnacentral:rRNA from 1 species
AUAGCUUGUGUGUUAGUGGAACGGUCUGGAAAGUCCGGCGAUACAGGGUGAUAGCCCCGUACACGAAGCAACAUAAAGCACAUAUUAAGUAGGACGGGACACGUGUUAUCUUGUCUGAAGAUGGGGGGACCAUCCUCCAAGGCUAAAUACUCGUUGUCGACCGAUAGUGAACCAGUACCGUGAGGGAAAGGCGAAAAGAACCCCGGCGAGGGGAGUGAAAUAGAACCUGAAACCGGAUGCGUACAAGCAGUAGGAGCCCUUCGGGGUGACUGCGUACCUUUUGUAUAAUGGGUCAGCGAGUUACGUUUCUGUGGCGAGCUUAACCGUCUAGGGAAGGCGUAGGGAAACCGAGUCUGAAUAGGGCGCAUAGUCGCAGGAAGUAGACCCGAAACCUGUCGAUCUACCCAUGGCCAGGGUGAAGGUGAGGUAAUACUUACUGGAGGCCCGAACCCACUAAUGUUGAAAAAUUAGGGGAUGAGCUGUGGGUCGGAGUGAAAGGCUAAUCAAGACAGGAGAUAGCUGGUUCUCCUCGAAAGCUAUUGAGGUAGCGCCUCGUGUCUCACUCCAGGGGGUAGAGCACUGUUUCGGCUAGGGGGCUCACAAGAGUUUACCAAACCGAUGCAAACUCCGAAUACCUGGAAGUGCAAUCACGGGAGACACACGGCGGGUGCUAACGUCCGUCGUGGAGAGGGAAACAACCCAGACCGCCAGCUAAGGCCCCAAAAUCAUCGCUAAGUGGUAAACGAUGUGGGAAGGCACAAACAGCCAGGAGGUUGGCUUAGAAGCAGCCACCCUUUAAAGAAAGCGUAAUAGCUCACUGGUCGAGUCGGCCUGCGCGGAAGAUGUAACGGGGCUAAGCAAUAUACCGAAGCUGCGGCAGCACGUAUGUGCUGGGUAGGGGAGCGUUGUGUAAGUGGAUGAAGGUGAAUCGAGAGG